rnacentral:rRNA from 1 species
AUGUUUACGGAGAACCACGUGACCACUGUCGAUGCACGACUCAUCGGUAUUGCACGAGAGUUAGCUGACGCACGUUGCCCUGCGGAUAUUCUACAGAGGAGUUUUGGUUCUGCUGUGUUAGCGGCUACGUACAGAGGCCUGUGCAAAGCUUGCUUGUUGAAGUCUAGAAAAUCUGGUGUUGUUGGAUGUCCAUUAUUGUUGCAGCUCUGGUCAUACGAGAGAUUCUCUAUUGGACGACCCUAUGUCUACGUUGAUAAACCUUUUGGUUUGGAGGACUUAGCUGGGGCUUAUGUGCCUGCUAUCGGCGAUUUACCUACUAUGGGAUCUAUUUGGGCACGACGAGAGGUACUUUUAUAUUAA